AGCGAACGCUGGCGGCAGGCUUAACACAUGCAAGUCGAACGGGCAUCCUCGGAUUUCAGUGGCAGACGGGGGGGUAACACGUGGGAACGUACGCUUUUGUUCGGAAUAACUCAGGGAAACUUGAGCUAAUACCUGAUACGCCCUCUUGGGGAAAGGUUUACUGCCGUAGGAUCGGCCCGCGUCUGAUUGCCGUGUUGGUGGGGUAACGGCCUACCAAGGCUACGGUCAGUAGCUGGUCUGAGAGGAUGAUCAGCCACACUGGGACUGAGACACGGCCCAGACUCCUACGGGAGGCAGCGGUGGGGAGUAUUAGACGAUGGGCGCAAGCCUGAUCAAGCCAUGCCGCGUGAGUGAUGCAGGCCUUAGGGUUGUAAAGCCCUUUUGUCCGGGACGAUAAUGACGGUACCGGAAGAAUAAGCCCCGGCUAACUUCGUG
rnacentral:rRNA from 1 species